UUGGCAUCCUGAAGACACAUUGUUUGUAUGAUUUUUUUAAACAAUGCGUCUCAGAAUGUAGU
rnacentral:pre_miRNA from 1 species